GCGAACGCUGGCGGCAGGCUUAACACAUGCAAGUCGAGCGGGCAUAGCAAUAUGUCAGCGGCAGACGGGUGAGUAACGCGUGGGAACGUACCUUUUGGUUCGGAACAACACAGGGAAACUUGUGCUAAUACCGGAUAAGCCCUUACGGGGAAAGAUUUAUCGCCGAAAGAUCGGCCCGCGUCUGAUUAGCUAGUUGGUGAGGUAAUGGCUCACCAAGGCGACGAUCAGUAGCUGGUCUGAGAGGAUGAUCAGCCACAUUGGGACUGAGACACGGCCCAAACUCCUACGGGAGGCAGCAGUGGGGAAUAUUGGACAAUGGGCGCAAGCCUGAUCCAGCCAUGCCGCGUGAGUGAUGAAGGCCCUAGGGUUGUAAAGCUCUUUUGUGCGGGAAGAUAAUGACGGCACCGCAAGAAUAAGCCCCGGCUAACUUCGUG
rnacentral:rRNA from 1 species